UGCAAAUCAACACCCAGGACUUGACCGUCGUUUAAACUUUCACUCUAAAGAUAAACAGUGACCUGCGAAGAUUAUUUAUCAUUUAUCGUUUUACUGAUUAUGAAACACAACCAUGAUGAAAUAUAUAAAAUUCUUGUCUAUAUUAAACAGUACUACAUAUCAAUACCUUACGAACAAGUGUGCAUACAUACAAAUACACUGAUCAUAACCGUUCGUUCUUAUUUGAGAUUUUUUUAAUAAACUGAUCAUAUACGUUUGUACAAAAUAUAAGAAAAAUAUUUCUUUUUGGAUUCCGCCUAUCAUU
rnacentral:lncRNA from 1 species